rnacentral:rRNA from 1 species
AUUGAACGCUGGCGGCAUGCUUUACACAUGCAAGUCGAACGGUAACAGGCCUUCGGGUGCUGACGAGUGGCGAACGGGUGCGUAAUGCAUCGGAACGUACCCAGAGGUGGGGGAUAACGCAGCGAAAGCUGUGCUAAUACCGCAUGUGAUCUGAGGAUGAAAGCGGGGGACCGAGCAGCAAUGUUUGGCCUCGCGCCUUUGGAGCGGCCGAUGUCGGAUUAGCUAGUUGGUGGGGUAAAGGCCUACCAAGGCGACGAUCCGUAGCUGGUCUGAGAGGACGACCAGCCACACUGGGACUGAGACACGGCCCAGACUCCUACGGGAGGCAGCAGUGGGGAAUUUUGGACAAUGGGCGCAAGCCUGAUCCAGCAAUGCCGCGUGCGGGAAGAAGGCCUUCGGGUUGUAAACCGCUUUUGGCAGGAACGAAGCGGUGUCCGCUAAUACCGGGCGCUAAUGACGGUACCUGCAGAAUAAGCACCGGCUAACUACGUG